ACACGAAAUUCUCUGGCAAGACAGUGAGUCCGAUUCCCUGGCCUCGAAGGAAAUGAGGACGGUUGCUCCCAGGAGGUGACAGCCGGAAGAGACCUCGGCUGUAUCAGGCUCACUUCUUCAUCUUACAAAUGAGUGUGAGAGGAGAAGAGAUGGGUUAAAGUUCUCACAGGACAGAUGCAGGUAUUUUUUCCAAUUGAGUGUGGCAUGCUGGGCAAGUGCACUGCUCCAUUGACGGAUAUCUGCUUCGGGAGCCCUGGGGCAUCUCUAGGUCAUG